rnacentral:misc_RNA from 1 species
GCAUAUAACCAGUCCUUGAAUAGUAGAUGCAGUGCACAUGAUAGUUCCCGUUUCCGGUUUUCUUCAAGGGGAGCUUCCCUCAGUAAUUGCUUUAUGACCCCCAAAUUCUUUUGAUUUCUCUGCUGAGAUGACAUGUAGGCUUCCGGUAAUGGAAAAGGGUUAUCUUUUGUUGACCCAGUAGAUUCACUGCCAAACCAGUUUGGAAUCAGAAAACUUGUGAAUUGAUCAGGGUCCAGGCGUGUAGCUGACUCAGCUUGAACAUCAGAGACACCUGCAGGAUGAGAUAAUGAAUC